UAUUCAGAUUAGUGCCAGUCAUGU
rnacentral:piRNA from 1 species